rnacentral:rRNA from 1 species
GACGAACGCUGGCGGCGUGCUUAACACAUGCAAGUCGAACGGAAAGGCCCUGCUUUUGUGGGGUGCUCGAGUGGCGAACGGGUGAGUAACACGUGAGUAACCUGCCCUUGACUUUGGGAUAACUUCAGGAAACUGGGGCUAAUACCGGAUAGGAGCUCCUGCUGCAUGGUGGGGGUUGGAAAGUUUCGGCGGUUGUGGAUGGACUCGCGGCUUAUCAGCUUGUUGGUGGGGUAGUGGAUUACCAAGGCUUUGACGGGUAGCCGGCAUGAGGGGGUGACCGGCCACAUUGGUACUGAGAUACGGCCCAGACUCCUACGGGAGGCAGCAGUGGGAAAUAUUGCACAGUGGGCGGAAGCCUGAUGCGGCAGCGCCGCGUGCGGGAUGACGGCCUUCUGGGUAAAAACCGCUGUCGCCUGUGACGAAGCGUGAGUGACGGUAAUGGGUAAAGAAGCACCGGCUAACUACGUG